ensembl:lncRNA
AAUUUAUGUAAGACUAAAAUGUGCUGAUUAGAAAAAUAGAAAGUAAUACCUUUCCAUUAUAUUACAAAACAUUUCAAUUGACUAAAUCAACUUUCUAAAAUUAAUAUUGUAGCAAAUAUUUUGAGAUGUAUUAUUAUUCAUUGUGUAUGAAAUUAUUGCCAAAUAUCAUGAGACAUAAUUGAAUAUUCUAACUAUUCUACAACCUCACUUCAUUCAAGAUAUUUUCUGCUUUCCAGAACUCCCACCAUGAUAGUUGAUGAAUGUAAAUAAGUCAAUACACGGAUUACAUAGAUGAAUCAAAUACAUUUUAACCAAAAAACUGAAAGUCAAUUCCUAAAUGCCCAGUAAUUAUUUUCCAUACAUUCAGUAUCAGCAACACAUCAGAUACCAUUAAAGUUUACAGUUUCAAUUGGGGGUGCACUCACAAAAUAAAGAUAAAUCAGUGUCUUUAAACCCCAAAAUCAUUUGGAUGCCUGUGAGAAAGAUGCCUCAUUUUCAUUCUUAGUAAGUCAUGAUUAUAGGGAGUAGAACCAAGAACCAUCACAAUCAGUGAUUCUAUUACUUUAUUUUUCUUUGUUUCGAUGAUACCAAGUUAUGGACUUGUUCAUGGUGACUUUCUAAUCCAAUCAUGAAUGAAAAUAACCUGGAGACCGAGAGCACCCUCUGGUUUAAGCCUUUAAGCCCAUCUCAAUGUUUGUUCUCCACUAUCCUUCUCUGGAUUGUAAAGUCUAUGGGGCUAAUGACACCAGGCAUCCAGCUCACUUUCGCGUGUCCAGAGCCUACCAUUUUGAUGGAAAUAUGAAAAUUCCUCAAAGAAAUGAAGACUUCAGCAAUCCAAGACAGGUCUAACUCAAAAAACAACACAAAAACAGUGGACAGGAUUGGGUCUACAAGGCUGCUGGAAUCAAGGUUUGUGAGCCUACAGUAUAUUAUAUCAGUGAGACUUUAACAGCAUACAAAAUGAAAAAUAUUCUGUCAAAACAAGGACUCUUAACUAGAACCAUGCUCAUUUCAUAAAACUUGGGACAUAGAAGGGUUAAAAUAUGUUACUUCUCUCUGAAUCCAUCCUCUGCUUAAACAUCUACUUCCAGGAGGCAAGAGAAGAAAUAUAAGAGUAAUAGCCAAGGCCUCUACCAAUGUAUUCUAAAUAACCAUAAUGUAAGGAGUUUCAACUGACCAGUGCACAGUCUAGAUGUGGGCUUAAAACUCCAAGUGUCAACAAUUGAAAAUUUUAGAAAAAUACUAUGAUAAUAGGUUGAAGAAAAAAGUUGACUAUUAAUAAUCAAACAACAGCAACUUCCUCAAAUCAAAUCUGGAUUAAAAGCCAACAAUUAAAUCUAUACCAAUUUCUCUUGAUGAACAUCUGACAGAGGACAAAGAUUACCUACUAGUGAGCAAUAAUUAGAAAGUCAUCUCACAAAAAAUAAUAUAUGACAGAAAACAAAAAAGGAUACUUUCAAAGAUUUAGGGAAAAUUACUUCCACUAGAGUUUGGUUUAGCAAUGAAGAUGCCAGUUGAGAUAUAUGCACUCCAUAUCAGAGUGUCUACGUUCAAUUACCACAUGUUCUCCCUGAUCUGUGGUAACUAAUAGAACACAUAAAAGGAAUCUACAGAAGUGA